CCCGCAUCUGGACAAGGGGGAUGUGGUGGCACCCAGAAGCUUGGAGACAGCAGGGACUGCAGAGACCCAAAGAGGGUGUCACAGCUCUGGUUUGACACAUCAAAACUUCUCAGAUGAGCCACAUAGGAAGACAAAGAGGAAGAAAAUGAGGGCAUCGAAACUGUAACACGCCUAAAAAAAGUGUGUGGGAAAAGAGGGGAUUCAAGUACUUAGUAUUGAAAAGUGAAAGCCAAAGACUGAGAAUUAGUCAAUGUGUCACUAAGCACUACAAGGGAAGAGACUAGACUGACCAGCUGUCAGAUGUACUUAGGCCUGCUGGACAGAUACAUUUUUCUGGUGAAGACGGCUGCAUCUGGCUUGCAUCAUUCCCUAUUCUCUGAUUUCAUCUUCAUUGAGCAUCCUUCAGAUUCGCAUUCCUCAAAGAAUAUUAACAUGUUUUCAGUGUU